CUUCUAAUGCCUGCAACAAUUUCACUGCCAUCUUCCAUAGGGGUUAAAACGAAAGAGCAGCAUUCUGGAGUAAUACUGGGAAUUGGGGCCAGCAGAAGAGCAUUUACAGUGGAUUACUAAGCUUCCCAAAUCACCAAAGAGUGGGACCUGCAUGGCCUCUGCAGAUGUACCUCCAUCGAAACAAACAAGCACCAGAGCAAAUAUUCAUGUGCAGCUCAGCCCAGAAGAGACAACUGGCCACCUAAGGGCUUCUUACUGGUCUGUCUGGAGGAACAUGUGGCACCUCCUGUGUCACAUCAGCCACCACUGGAACUGGCAGGUGCCCUCACUGCAGUGUAACUCUGAACCCAUGAGCAAGGGAGGAGAGGGCAGAGCUCACCAAUGGCAGAGCAGGCCCCAAGUGUCAGCUCUACCCAAAACCACCCUA